ACAUGGACCACAACAUCUGGGUUCAUGCCCUCACUCUCAAGAAUAGCCUGCACCCGAUCUGAGAUGUCCCGGACCCUGGCACCAGGGAGGCAACAUACCAUCCGAGACUCCCGAUCUGCCCCACAAAAUCUCCUAUCUGCCCCCCUAACUAUAGAGUCCCCUAAAACUAUCGCUCUCUUCUCUUCACUCCUCCCCUUUCUAGUUGAGGGUUCAACCUCUGUGCCAGAGGCAGGACCACUACAACUCAUUCCUGGUAGGUCAUCCCCAUCAACAGUAUCCAGUACGGUAUACUUAUUGUUAAUGGGAAUGGCCGCAGGGGUGCUCUGCUCUCUCUGCCUGCUCCCCCUGCCUCUCUGGACCGUCACCCAUCUGCCUACUUCUUGGUUUUUUGGUGUGACUACCUCCUGAUACCUAUCUAUCUCUGCCUCCACCUCCCGAAUGAUCCGUAGUUCAUCCAGCUCCAGCUCCAACUCCCUAACUCGGUCUGAUAGGAGCUGCAGCUGGACGCACCUUUUGCAGGUGUGGUCAUCAGGGACAACUGUGUUGACCCUGACCUCCCACAUACUGCAUACGGAGCACACCACUGCUCUGACUGUCUCCCCCAUACCUGAACUGGAUUAAUAGAAUAAGUCUAAAAAGCACCUAGCGACCUUACCUUCUUCCCCUCAGCGAGCAAUCACACAGGCUUACCGAAGCCCACUUAGCCAAAGCCCAGGACUCUGCUUCCACGGACUCCGCUGCCCGCUCUGAAAAGAAGUCCUGCCUUUUAAAGUGCGCGCUCGACGCUGACGUCACUCGCGCCUGCGCAGUUCCCCCUCCUCCACAGGUAUUGACCAGGUAGGCUUAAAUCCUACCUACACGGUCGAAUUCUCUGAGCUCCCAGCUGAAUCACAAGCUGUAACUUGCUCCCGACUUGGAACCAAUCUGAGUUGGCAGAGCUGAGGUGAGGCAGAGUCAAGUUGGCGGGCUCCACGCCCAAGAGACUUGCACCAAAGAAGAUGAGUAACUUCACAUGUGGCUUUUGGAGGUGGCAUUAAAUCUGACAGCAAAGAAAUUCAGACUCACAGAUGUCACAUGGAUGAAAAAAACCUGCUCCGAUUCUCAGAGGCAUUGUGAAUUGACGUUUUUCUAAUGUCAUAAAAUAUCGCACACAGAUAAGGAUAGCUCUGCACUGUGCUGCAGACAGCCUCUUUUAAAGCCUACUUGAAAUGACACUUUGACACCACGAAUGAGGAGAGUGGCAAAGGUGACAUCGAGGGUGUCUUGUCGGGCCGUUUGGCAUGGGAAUUGCAAAGCAAAGCAUUUGACUGCAAGACCCUGCACUGAAUUGUGAGGACUGCUGGGAGAAACUUCGGGGUUCUCUCUCUCCCCCAGCCCCCCAUCAGCAUCCAGGACUUAUAACCAGAAGCAGUAGGUUUGCAGAGCCCUGUGCAAUGUCAAACACCCACCCUCCGGUCCCACAAUCUUUUUGACCUCCUACCUGUCACGCAAAAGGUACCACUGUAUAAGAACAAGGACUGUAAGGCUGGGCAGCUGAAGUGAGACUUCUGAACACACUGCUAUCACCUAGUACACGUUAAUUAUGGCA